CUUAGGGUAAACUGACCUGCACACACCAUUAAGUUUAAAUAGCAUAAUAUAUGUAAAUAUUAACAGGGUUCUAGGGUACAUGUCCACCCUCCACUGUGGCAACUCACUGGGUUGAAAGAAGAAAUCCUCAAGCUCUGGCAUAUGAAAAAAAAAAAAAGCUGGGACCUUUCGUGUCUCCUCAACUUGAUGGUGUGGGGGUCCGUGGGCUGGGGCAGAGGACAACUUCAAGCAUUUUCCUCCCUUGUGUGUUUAGGAAUGACCCUUUGGGGGAGGGGAACCAGGGAAGGUUAAGGACAAGAGUAAGACUGAGAAUAACACGUGAAACUAAAAUUAAGUUAAUAGAUGCAGAGUUGUCCUUCUCCCUCAUUCUUCUAGAAUUCUCUUCCAAGACCACAAAUCAAAAUCUGCAUUUAAAUAGAAUAUUUUUAAUGUGGAAAAGAGGAAGCCCAGGGGUACAAAGGCACUGCAUUCAAUAUCUAUGAGCACACACUGCAUUUGCAAUGAGACGCGGCAUUUUGAAUUGCUGGGAUGUAUCACAAUUUCCAAACUGUCUGGUUAUUACUAUUUUUACUAAAUUUCUCCCAUUGUAACGGGGUAUGUUUCCUCUUACAGCCAGGACUGCUAAUAAAAGUAAUGUGAUAUGACAUCAUUCCAUCAAUUUAAUCUUGAGAAAAGAUUACACAAUCCUGGAUUUUAAAAGCUGUGGGUUCUGAUAAUUCCAGCCAUUAUUCAGUGUGAAAUUCAAACAGUCUGAAUUCAUUAACAUUGCUUGUUACAAAUCUGCAUUUUUAGACUUUGCCAUAAAAUGCAGGAGUCCAAACCCAGUGACCUGAAUCUAACAGCCUUUCAUGUGAAGGAGUCGGGUUCACCGCUUCUUCAGGCGGCUCUGGACGGAAGCCUGACGGGCCCGUUCUCCCCACAGCUGGGGAGACGUGGGGGCUACUCUGGCCUUAGGUCUUGCUAGAGGCAAUCUUUACAGCUGAGAGAGUAUGGGAGACCUACCCCCAAAUUACAGUGAUGGGACUGGUGGUACAGCCUUUGGGGAGCAAACAGAGUCAGACUAAUUUUCGGCAUGAUGCACAA